rnacentral:tmRNA from 1 species
GGGGGCGACACGGUUUCGACGGAAGCUGUCGCGGCCAGAAGGCAUGCCGGGCGCCACCUGCCCGCAAUCGGGUGGAAAAACAUAACUGCGAACACUGAGUUCGCUCUCGCAGCCUAGACAAACCUAGUCUGCGCGUCUCACCUGACCAGCCCGCGGGUCGGGGCCGGGACGUCACUUAGCGGGCUGGCUGUCGCGUUUCGGUCCGCAGCGCGGCGGUGAGACCCAUCGGACUAGUCGCCGGCGUUUCUGGUCCGCUCUAAGCGGCGGCGGCAAACAGCGGUGGCCCGCAAGGGUGCACCGCAAGUGAACGGGCUAAGCAUGUAGGCUUCUGGUGGCAAGGCUUUUCGGACGGGGGUUCGACUCCCCCCGCCUCCACGC